UCAGAUGAUGAGUUAAAACUGUUCAACUGC
rnacentral:piRNA from 1 species